rnacentral:rRNA from 1 species
CAGCAGCCGCGGUAAUACGAAGGGUGCAAGCGUUAAUCGGAAUUACUGGGCGUAAAGCGUGCGUAGGCGGUUUGUUAAGUCUGUUGUGAAAUCCCCGGGCUAAACCUGGGAAUGGCAAUGGAUACUGGCAAGCUAGAGUGUGUCAGAGGAUGGUGGAAUUCCCGGUGUAGCGGUGAAAUGCGUAGAGAUCGGGAGGAACAUCAGUGGCGAAGGCGGCCAUCUGGGACAACACUGACGCUGAGGCACGAAAGCGUGGGGAGCAAACAGGAUUAGAUACCCCAGUAGUCCCUGUCUCUUAUAC